rnacentral:lncRNA from 1 species
AUAUUUCGAAGGAGGGAAAAAUCGAACUUGGAGUAAAAAUAUUUACGCAAUUUUAGUAGAAAGUAUGAAACAUCAUUCAAUAUGGGCAGGAGAAUAUGUAGCAUUCCUUUUCGCAAUCAUAUUUGGAAACGAGUAACAGAAUAGUUUGUCUAAUUAUCUUGAAAACUCACAAUACACAUAUAUGACUACCAUUUGAAGACUAUGUUACAAAAAAGUAAAUUGCAUGUAACUACAUACAUUAAUUGUCAUAACAUAACUCGCUAGAGCCUAUAAUUUAUUUUGCAGGAAUAAAUACAUAGUAUAAUAAAAUUAAUACAUAAUAUAAUAAAAUUAGAAAAGAUUUUUUACUCUUUCACAACUAAUAAAGUAAGAUAAAAGAUUCAAGUAAAUUGAUUGUUUUAUUAGACGUAAAUAAAUUAUAAGCUCAGAGAGUAAAUACAAAUAUUACACAAUAAAUGAGCUCUUUCCGGUUAACAUAAGGAAUGUUUCAGGUACAUGCUAGAACUAUUAGUAAAUGUUUUAUCACAUACAUAUGAAUAAAAUUAACAUAGGAAACACAUAUUUGGAAAACACGUAAACACAUGUAGAUAAAUAAUAUUUAUAAAUAAGGCUAUACCAUUUACUUUUCCAUUAUAUGAUAGGAAACACAAGGUUGUUAAACAAUUAAAACUAACUAAACCAUAUUUAAAAUUAUCGUAAAUUUCUUUCAUGUAACUUAAACUAACAAUAAUUAAUUACUCAAUGCAUAUUGUCUUACGUUAUCUCUUACAAUUCUAUACAUAUUUAUAUAUUUCAAUAAAUUACACAUGUAGUUUGACAUUGUUUAGCAAACAUAUCUAGCAAAUAUUUCUGUAGAAUAGAAAUAUUCUCUAUAUGAUAUAACUAUGACAAAAAAUUUAUCCAGUUAUUUAAUCAGAAUCAGUUUCCUCUUUUCUGUCUUUGUCUAUAAUGUACUAAUAGAUACCAAAAAGAUAUCGUGAAAAAAGUGGAAUUAUACAUGUAUCAAAUAAAUUAUAUGAAAGAGAUUCUCUGUUUAAAGUGAUAUAAAUUUUGGGGGUGAGAAGAGAGAGAGUAAUUCUUUCUCUUUUUUUUCUCUCUCUCUCUCUCUAAUUAUACAUAAACACGAUAUUUAAAAUGAUAUUUAUCUCAAAAAGCUUCUUAAGCAUUUUUGUACUCUAACAUUCUAGUACAGAAAAUAUUCAAUUUGCCUUUUUUUGUAUUUGUAUUAAUCUUUUGCAGAUUGGAAUGCCAAUGUAAUUUUGUUAACACUACUUCUUUCUAUUCACUGAUUGAUCAUUGAUUCCAGAUCUAUUUUACUAUCAUUUUACUAGAUUGAAGAUAGACUGUAUAUAUGUUUUAUCAUUCUGUACAUAAUAUAUGCAUACAUUAAACAAAUAUGAAAAUAUAAAGUACAAAAUAGUAAUAAUAAUUGCUUUUAUAUAACUAAUUUUUCAUUCAGGUAUAUGAGAAGGUAACUUUUUAUUGUUUAUCACAAUAUUGAAGCGUGUACUUUGUAUGAUUUUUUAAUGCGCGAUAUCCUUGAAUAGCGGAUAAA